rnacentral:lncRNA from 1 species
UUCUUUAUUUUGUGUCCGUCUUCCUUACACACACACACAAUAUAAUAUAUGAUUAUAUUUAUAUACACACACACACACAAUAUAAUAUAUGAUUAUAUUUAUAUAUACACACACACACAAUAUAAUAUAUGAUUAUAUUUAUAUAUACACACACACACACAAUAAAAGAUGGAAAUUUUGUAUCUCACAAAUAUGUCUUCAUAAAAUUACUUUUGUAAAAUGACAUUUAUAAUACACUGCAUAGAAUGUUAUGUCAAGUCCCAAUGGCUUCAUUGUGUGCAGUAUCACAACAAUUAUACAUUUUUCAAUGACUUAUUAUUAAAAAAAAACUGUAAGACAGGUUCCAUAUUAUCUAACUGCAAAUACAUAUAAAAUUAGAACUCAAAUUUGGAAUUUCCUUAAUUGAUGCUUAGAUAAUAGAUUCACAUAUGCUUGAUUUAGUAUAAUUUUCUCUCAUCAAUAUAUUUUUUUCAUAUUUAUAUGAGUCAACAUGAAAACCUCAUGCCUUUUCAAGUUCCACUUGUGCACACAAUUGUACAGUAGAAUAUAACCUGUCAAUCAUAUUUUGAUGCAAUUUUAGUUUACUUUGUUAGCUUUAAAAAUGAUUUUUUUUAAUGAAACCUAAUACACAAGCCAUUGGAAUGCAACAGCUGCUCAAUUGAAAAAUUAGUUAUAGUUCCAAGCUGAUCAAAGCUUGCUACAAAGCAAAGUAAAUAGUAGGCUACUUGCAAGAGUAGCACUCAGAAUUGCAUCUUGGGCUGACAAUAAUGCACAUUAAACAAUGCCCACAAAUAGGAUGGUCUUGUGAUGGCAAUAAAACAGUAAAACAUAAAGAGACAGCUAUUAAAUAUGAUUCAUUGCACAUGAAAAUGAACAAGAUUUAUUACACAUUUUCUCAUCUAGGUACAUUGCACAUGAAAAUGGCCAUGAGUUUUGUCAUUUUCUAAAGUAAGUCAAACUAGUCCAAGUUUGAAGAGGUUGAAGGAGUUAUAUGUAUUUGCAUGUAAAAUUUCCUUUUUUGAUAUCACCUUGCACUAAAGUUGUGAUUUUGCAAGAAUGAAUUAUUGUAAUAUUUGAUGAAGAAAUUUUCGGUUCUAUUAGAUGAAAUUUAUAUGUCGAUUUUUUUUAAAAAAAAAAUACUACUUUGUGGAAAAAAAUAUACAAGCUUUACAACACAACUCAAUGGAAACACAGAUUAAGUUGUUACAAGGAUAUAAAUGUUAAGGUGUUAUGAGAAAUUGCAUUAUAUUUCAAAGACAUAAAACCCAUUGUACCAAAUUAGGUCAAAAGCACAAAAUCUUUACAUUCUGUAGAACAUGAUUUGCAAGCUCCCAACUACAAGACUAUGUAAAAACAACGGAAUUAUUGUUCAUGUGCAUCAAUCUUCACCCAACUCUUGACUUCUAAUCAUGAGAAUGGAACCUGAAUUCCCAAACAAACACCAUUAACAAAAAAUACUCUAGAAUGAGAAAUAAAAAUAAAAUGAGGAUAUUAUACUAAAAUGUUAUUUUUUAAAAAAGAAAAUAAUGUAAGAAUAUACAAAAAAAUAAUAUGUUAGUACAAAAUGCAGGUGAAGUUCCGUACGAGGAGGGGUCAGUGGGGACCUCAGAACGCGAAAGCUACCUUGCGGUGGGUCCAGAGGUACAGUUUGUACGUUCUAGACCAUACGAAAAGUACAAAUGGUACUCGAUCCCCGUGUUUUUUGGAGUUAGAUUUGGCCGUGUCGAGCCCAGCGUGGACUAGGCCAUGGCUCAACGCAUGGGGCGGUGCCACGUGGAAUAGUCGGCAACGAAAAUUGAGUUCUGGUUGCCAAGGCCUUCUUUUACCGCUAAAGUCCUUUAAAACAAAUUAAUAAUAAAUUAAAAAGUUUUCUUUUUUAUUUGAUUGGGGGAGGGGGUUGCUUGAACUACUUCAUCAUUACAAGAUAAAAUGAUUUAU